UACAGAGGGGGCAAGCGUUGUUCGGAAUUACUGGGCGUAAAGGGCGCGUAGGCGGCCUUCUAAGUCAGACGUGAAAUCCCUCGGCUCAACCGAGGAACUGCGCCCAAAACUACCGUGCUCGAGGAAGAUAGAGGUGAGCGGAACUCACGGUGGAGCGGUGAAAUGCGUUGAUAUCGUGAGGAACACCCGUGGCGAAAGCGGCUCACUGGGUCUUUUCUGACGCUGAUGCACGAAAGCUAGGGGAGCAAACGGG
rnacentral:rRNA from 1 species